rnacentral:rRNA from 1 species
GACGAACGCUGGCGGCGUGCUUAACACAUGCAAGUCGAACGGAAAGGCCCUGCUUUUGUGGGGUGCUCGAGUGGCGAACGGGUGAGUAACACGCGAGUAACCUGCCCUUGACUUCGGGAUAACUUCAGGGAACUGGGGCGAAUACCGGACAGGAGCUCCUGCUGCAUGGUGGGGGAUGGUAAGUUUCGGCGGUUGGGGAUGGACUCGCGGCUUAUCAGCUUGUUGGUGGGGUAGUGGCUUACCAAGGCUUUGACGGGUAGCCGGCCUGAGAGGGUGACCGGCCACAUUGGGACUGAGAUACGGCCCAGACUCCUACGGGAGGCAGCAGUGGGGAAUAUUGCACAAUGGGCGGAAGCCUGAUGCAGCAACGCCGCGUGCGGGAUGACGGCCUUCGGGUUGUAAACCGCUUUCGCCUGUGACGAAGCGUGAGUGACGGUAAUGGGUAAAGAAGCACCGGCUAACUACGUG